GUCCGAACCGGGAAACUAGAUUUCUGUAGCGUCUUACAAGCUAAAUGCUGAGCAGACAUUCUCAGAACUACAGGAAAUUAAAACUUAGAACAAAAAUACAGAACAGACUGGACUUUCAGUUGUAGCUUCAUGGUGGUGAUAGGAAAGGACUUAUUGCUGAAACGGAAACGGGAGGACCUGUAUGACAGAGGAGCCGGUGUUUUCUUGAGGAAUAAGAGGAGGAUGGAGUUUUUAAAUGGAUAAUAAAAAGUUUCACUCAGCAUUUUAAUACUGGAGGAAAGCGACGAGCUGAAGAUUCUCAGCCAUCCAGGACAUGGACAGAACACAGAC